CGUUUUUUUCCUUCUCAUUUUCAUUUUCUCCGCCACAGACUCAUCUCUCUUUCAUCUCCUCACCUUGUCUGAAGAACUGCGUGAUUAUAGAACUUCAUCUCUAUUUCAGCUCUAAAACCACUGAAAUCGACAGCCAGGGGUUUGUCAAGGUUGAAGAACUGAAGUACUCUGAAGAUCAUUUAAGGUCAACAUGGCCCAUCGACUGAGAAGUGGUUUUUGUGUGCUUAUAUAGUAAAGAAGCCCUUUUAUGUAUGGUGAGGCAGGAGGUCGUGUCAUUAAUUUGCCAGAGAAUCAGAAGAUGUUUAUUGUAAAACAUUGGCACAACAGUUACAAAUUAGCUUUUUAGGACAGAAUUUAUUCGAUGUUGAACUAUAUUUCUUAAGUUGAAUCAAGUUUAUCUUAUCUUGUUGUUCAGUGAUCUCUUUUGGGUAUCAUUCAAUGGUUCAAGCAAUGUCAGAAAGCAUAGGUGAAGAUUCAGGUAAUACCAAAGAUUAUGGAGCCUCUCAGAAUAUCAUGCCGAGCUUGAAUAUCUUGAACAACCUGGCAUGUUCUCCUACAAAUACAUCCCAAGGUUAGAAAUAAACUGACCUUGCUCGGCAACAUAUAUGCUAGCUGCUGACGACACAAACUUGUAUUAAAGAACACACCAGAGACCAACCAUAGCUGACAUAUUAAUGAGCAUCUGGGAUAAUUCUAUAAAUGGACACUAAUGCGACAUCGUUAUAUUGAAGUACACCAAAGAAAAACACCUUCUUCAGUUGUAUCAUAGUGUCCAUUUGUAUUUUCCCUGUGUAUUUCUAUGUGAUUUACUUGAUGCGCACAGUACUGAGACACUAAGGUGACAUCGUUAUAUUGAGACACACCAAAGAAAAGUAUUAUGUCCAGAUCUUUUUUUUCUUCUGUAUGUCCUAGUUCCUAUUUCAAUGUUUGGUGGCUUGACUAGUACGUACUAGAUAAUUUGGAGCACAGCAUUGCCUUAUUUCUAGGGUUAGCCUGACUAGUAGAUUUAUAACGUCCAUUUGUUUGAUGUCAGAAAUUAGACCAGUCUUGUAUGGUGAACAUUGAGUCAAUGCCCAAUAUUUACUUCAUCAUUUACUUAUUGUUUUAUUUCUGAUGGCGUUUUUGUAUUUUGGGAGUCCAGAGAAUUAGAAUUUGCUAGGACAAGAGAUGCAUUACAGGUGGAAGUGCUCGAGAAAAUGAAUUUAACAGUCAGUUUAUGAUGAUUACUGGAUCACUAACUAGAACCCCAGAUAGUAAAAAAUUUGGAUAAAGUUUUAGAAGCAGCAACAGGUGGCUGGGAAUGGUUGAUAACUGACUCAUUUUAGAAAUCUUUAGAUAGUCUUCUUCAGACAUCGAUCCCAUAGAGCGAGGCUUUUGGCUGUAUUCUGUUGAACUAUUCACAGUGAAUUAUUUGUCUAACCAUCUCUAAGUAUGUGUGACUCAAUUGGAGUGUCUUGAUCUCGCCUAUAUUGAUUUUCAAGCAUCAGAAAUCCCACUUCAAUUUCUCAUACUCCUAUCAGAAAUGGCAAUGGGAAUCUUAUUAAUAAAAUACUUAUAUGGGAUUUUAUUAUAUGGUAUUGCAAGUGCUUCUUCAUUUUCAUUUGAUUUUUGUUUAGUUUUGAUAUAUAUAUAUAUAUAUAUAUAUAUAUAUAUAUAUGGGUUUAGAUCGGAAGCAUCCAGCUUGUGACUUUAUCGUACUUUGGGCGAAGGGAAUUCUCAUUCAUUUUGGGAAAUGACGUAUAUUUGCGUUAUCAAUCGUUCAACAAAAGGGAGUGCCCGUUUAAAAUUGAUAUCAGUGCUGUAUACAAUGUAGAUCCUGCUAAGCGUAAUGCGUAUUCUGGUGAGAAUGCAUUCACUCCGGUGGAGAAGGAGUUAGUUCUCAAUAUUGAUAUGUCAGAUUAUGACGAUGUUUGGUAUUGCUGCUCGGGUGCUAAUAUUUGCAAAAAGUGCUGGCCACUAAUGACAAUUGCUGUUAAAGUGAUUGAUUCUGCACUCAGAGGCAGGAGUCUACGAACUACGAAGAGCAGCCCCAUGGUCAGUAUUGUUGAGUGAACAGGAAAACUUGAACUCUCUGGGUUUGAAGUCCCUUCAUUGCGGGAUCCUAUUUCUUGAGUAUCCUAAUUCAGAUAAUGAUUUAAUUGGAUGGGAGCACAACCAUCCAGUCUAAUCAUGUUCUAGGCAGUUGUACAUUUAUCAUCUGAGUGGAACUUUCCAACCGAUAAGCAUUUAGCUAAUUGAAAAUUUCUUCAUGUGCUGCCCCAGUUAUAGGAGAUGCACAGCAAUUUCUUUAGCACAUGGUGGUACAAGUAGGAUAAAACAAAUACUUGUUACUUCGAUCCUUUGCGAAGUUCGCAAUCAGUGUUAGCUAUUCUAUAUAAUUGCACUAUAUCUUGUCGAUAGAAGUUAUCAUACAACCAGUUCUGAAGUUACUGCUGUCUGUCCCCUUACAUAAUUUUGAAAUUGUGGUAUCGCUACUGAUGCAUGUGUGUUCUCUAAACCCUGUAAGCAUCAUACUAUAUGCAAGUAUCAGUCUACUAAAGUGUAGGUUUUUUAAAGCUGUAAUGCCUGGUCAGGUGUCUGUGUAUAACGCAGAAUCCCUUGAUCAUAAAGCAGGUAUUAGUCUUUUGGUGACAGGUGGAGAAAAAUUUCUUAAAUGGCAAGUUGAAGGCCAUCACAGCUUACUUCAACCACCCCUCAGUGUAAAGGAUUUUAUAACAGUCCACUUCUGCGAAUUUUGGAUCAAAGCGUGGGUUCUUCUAAAGCUGAACUAAUCCAUGGGUUCUGAUUGUACGCCACCAAGACUCCAGAAUAUAUACGAAAACCUGGAAAACUUGGACUCUACUAAGAUCAGGGAUUUUUCGUGUCAAAAAAAAAAAAAAGAUUAGGAAUUUCAUGGGAGCAUUCUGGGAUAAGCUGUCCAUGGAUGAGGCUAAGGAUGUCAUUGUUAUAUCAUUUGAUACUGUGAUGUUGGAGGUAUUUGGGUUUAAGUCAAAAAGCAGUACUCUGGUGAUAUUGUCGCAGCAGCUGAAUCUACCUAUCAUUUGCAGAGGAAAUUGGUUAGGCAAGCAGAGUCUCGUGAUACUUCUGGUGGAGUUCAUUCUUCUGACUCAUUUGUUAGUCCAUCUUUCUUUCCCUGUUUUUCAAUGCCUCAUUCAGUUGACACAAACUAGGUCACCCAUCCAUUUAUGAACGUCAACAUAGAACAUUGUAUGUCAGUCACAAAAAUUUGGGUCUUGAUGAUCAUCUCAGAAAGUUUGCUGUGAUAGUUGUAUACAUUUGUAUCUCCUAUUCAUACUUUAAGUUCACUUCAAUUGAAGAAUCCUUUUUUUUAA